GACGAACGCUGGCGGCGUGCUUAACACAUGCAAGUCGAACGGAAAGGCCCUGCUUGCAGGGUACUCGAGUGGCGAACGGGUGAGCAACACGUGGGUGAUCUGCCCUGCACUUCGGGAUAAGCCUGGGAAACUGGGUCUAAUACCGGAUAGGAGCCAUUUUUAGUGUGAUGGUUGGAAAGUUUUUUCGGUGUAGGAUGAGCUCGCGGCCUAUCAGCUUGUUGGUGGGGUAAUGGCCUACCAAGGCGGCGACGGGUAGCCGGCCUGAGAGGGUGGACGGCCACAUUGGGACUGAGAGACGGCCCAGACUCCUACGGGAGGCAGCAGUGGGGAAUAUUGCACAAGGGGCGCAAGCCUGAUGCAGCGACGCCGCGUGGGGGAUGACGGCCUUCGGGUUGUAAACUCCUUUCGCUAGGGACGAAGCUUUUUGUGACGGUACCUAGAUAAGAAGCACCGGCUAACUACGUG
rnacentral:rRNA from 1 species